rnacentral:lncRNA from 1 species
GGCUAACUUACCAGACCCUCGAGAAGACCUCCACGACUUCGAGAUGGGGCUAACUUACCAGACCCCAGCAAAGCUCGAAUCAUGCGAGAAGCAGAUGGAGACUCUUAGAGAAUCUCCGAAGGGCUAACUUAUCAGAUCCUCGAGAAGAUCUUGACGACUUUGAGGCAGGGCUAACUUAUCAGACCCUAAUAAAGCCCGAGUCAUGUAGAAAGUGGAGGAAGACCUUUAAAAAAUUUUCGGAGGAAUAACUAAUCAAACCCUCAGAAUACUGUCGAGUGCGUAAGAUGCUAUAGGCACAAGCUCGCCGCUGGCACACACUGUCUUUAAUGUGAAGACAAGAAAUACUAGAUGCCGUAGGCAUAAGAUCGCCGCA